rnacentral:rRNA from 1 species
AUGCCUCACUUAUUCUCUUACACAAAUAUUACUAUAUUACCAGUCCAGGAGGCUAUCAAUCUGGAGUAUUUGGAGGACCUAUUCCACUUACCACUAUCUGCACAAGCUUAUGAGGAGUUCCAACAACUUGAGGUGACUUGUGAGGAGGCCAGAUCAUCUCAGUAUAGAGAAUGCAAUGACACAUGGAGCUAUAUAUGGGGAUCCACAAAUUUUUCAUCCUCAAAGGCAUAUACUUGCAUGAUUGGGGUCACAGUUGUCCCACAAAUUUUCAAUGGGUUUGGAACACAUCAUGCCAACCCAAACAUAAAGUGUUUUCUGGAUGGUGCUUCAUGA